UGGCUGUGGCUGUGGUGUAGGCCAGUGGCUACAGCUUCGAUUCGACCCUUGGCCUGGGAACCUCCAUAUGACACUGGAGCCGCCCAAGAAAUGGCAAAAAGACAAAAAAAAUUUACUUGACUGAAGUAGAGUUGAUUUACGAUGUUGUGUUAGUUUCAGGCGUACAGCAAAGUGACUCGUGUAUUUGUGUGUGUGUGUGUGUGUGUACACGUAUAUCUGAUGUGUAUGUAUAUACACACACAUCCUUUUUCAUACUCCUUUCCAGGGUGGUUUGUCACAGGAUGCUGAAUGUAGUUCGCUGUAGGGCAGGAGCCUGUUGUUUGUCCAUCCUGCAUACGUCUGCCUCUGCGAGACCCAAGCUCACUCCCAGUCCUUCCCUGCCCCACCCGCCUCCCCUUCGGCAGCCACAAGUCUGUUCCCUCUGUCCCAGAGUCUGCUUCUGCCUCGUAGACACGUUCGUUUGUGUUGAGUGUUUGUGAAGUUUCGUUAGAGUUGCUUUACGCGGGUGUGAUCAUGUCCGCUCUGCAACAACGUGAUUCAGGGACCCCUGUACCCACAGCCUUUCUCUCCCAGAUUCUCUUCCCACACAGAGGAUCCCAGAAUAUCGGGUAGAGGUCUCUGGGCUGCACGGCAGGUCCCCACUGGCCAGGACAACUCAGCGUACAGAUGCCAGUCCCAAACCCCAGGCUAUCUCUCCUCCCCCACAACUGUCCGCUUUGGUAACCGUACGCUUGUUUUCGAAGUCUGCCUGUCUGUUUCUGUUCUGCAGAUCAGUUUGUGCCACAUUUGAGACGCCACGUAUAAAUGAUAUCAUGUGACAUUUGUCUUCCACUGUCUGACUGACCUCACUUAGCAGGAGCAUCUCUAGGUCCGUCCCUGUUGCUGCAAACGGCAUCAUUUCACUCUUUUUACAGCUAACACUCCAUCGUGUAUAUGGACUACGUCUUCUUGAUCCAGUCCUCUGUUGAUGGACGUUUGGGGUGCUUCCAUGUCUCAGCUGUUGUGCAUAGAGCUGCAGUGAAUACUAGGGCGCACGUAUCUUUGUGAAUUACUGGUUCCUCCAGAGAGAGGCCCAGGCGUGGGAUUGCUGGUGGCAGUUCUGGUUUUAGUUUUUGCGUCCCCUCCGUACUGUUCCCCACAGUGGCAGCACCAGGUGACCUUCCCACCAGCAGUGUAGGUAGGUGGUUUUCUGAUCCCUGGCCUGGAGGACGAGAGUCCAGAGGGAAAGANNNNNNNNNNNNNNAAGAGAAACUUUCCAUCCCCUCUUCCCUUCCGUGCAGUUCACGGGAUCCACAAACAACGCCUCCGGGAGAGGAACUGUUUUUAUCCUCAACACACUGAGUUGGAACCGCUAUUAAGAAAACUGCACAAGAACCCAGCUGGGAAGUGAAAGAGCCAAAACGCACUCCCACGCCGCGUUACUCCACAGCCUGCUCACUGCCACGUGUUACUACCCCACGGCUACGGGCGAGGGCUCGCUGCCUGGGGGGCACGGCAGCCAGCACCGCAGGCCCAGCUUUUGAGGAAAGAGGAGGCUUUGUUGCCAGGCCCAUGGCCAGGAAACAGGAGGCAGGGCUUCCAUCUGUCUUUCCCGUCCAGGGUUCAGGGUAAAAUUUAAGGGGUUCAGGGGACUUCAGACGUGGAAGCCAAUGGGCUCGUCUCAGUCUGUAGAAGCUGCUGGACGCCAGACUUUCCUCAUUGAAGGACGUCUCCCUUCCUCAAGGGCCCUGCCUGUAACACUUGCAUCCUUUGGGUCGCAGACUGAAGAGUCUUGGUUCCAGGGUCCCCUGAGAACGUGGGUUCCCAGGCUGGGGGUCCAAUCAGAGCUACAGCUGCUGGCCUCCACCACAGCUCACAGCUACGCCAGAUCCGAGCCUUGUCUGUGACCUAAACCACAGCUCACAGCAAUGCUGGAUCCUUCACCCACCAGAGGCCAGGGAUCAAACUUGCAUCCUCAUGGAUCCUCGUCGGCUUCAUUACCACAAGGGGAACUCUCUCGGGUCUCAUUUUAAAACCCAUUCCUGUUGAUGGAUGAGGUCUACGUAUAUCCUCAGGUGUCUUGAGGGACUUGUGAUCCCCCCGCUUCCCCCCCCACCACACACACACACAGCCCUUCCACACGGAUGGCCGGUUGGGGCUGGAGAAACACAGUUCCCUCCAUCUCUUCAGCACCCCCCACCAGGGGGUGAGAAGCAGCCCUGAGUGUGCAAGGACCUCCCCACCCCUCCGUGUUCGUCUCUCUCCCUUCAUCCUCUCCAUCCCCUGCGUCCAGGACACCUCCGAGCCCUCUCCCUGCACUGUCCCCGCUGAUGAGCAGCAAAACCCCUGGCUGACCACGCUGCCUCCACACCAGCCCUGGACGACUUUCUCCUUUUUAAAAAUCUUCCGCCAUGUUCACUUGACCCAAGGAACCCUUGUGUGACCACGUCGAAGUUUCAUCGGCAUCCCAAGGACAAGCCCCGCGCUCCAGCCUCCGACUCGCUGUGCGGGGGUCUCGGGUGUGCCUCGCAGUGACAGCGCUUCUCCGUCUGAAAGUUACCUUGAUCACAUACCCUUGACACAUUUCAGGAUUUCUUAUGAUCGACGGUGGCGAGAGAGGUUGCCGGCAGCCAAGCGUCCCAAACACACCUUGAAAUGUUCCCAUAACUAGUCGAGUCUGUUUUCCGAAUUGAUUUUACGCCGUUAAGAUGGAAUCAACUGCAAACAUCCCACCCUGUCCGUUGCUGAGCUACAUCUCACGGCAGGGGCAGGUCUUGUCGUGGUGGGGGUGGGUCCUGUGGCGGGGACGGGUCUUGUCACAGUGGGGAUGGGUCUUUUCAUGGCGGGGACGGAUCUUGUUGUUGUGGGGACGGGUCUUUUCAUGGCGGGGAUGGGUCCUGUCAUGGUGGGGACGGGUCUUCUUGUUGUGGGCAUGGGUCCUGUCACAGUGGGGACGGGUCUUUUCAUGUCGGGGAUGGGUCUUGUUGCGGGGAUGGGUCUGGUCACAGCAGGGAUGUGCCAGGGGUUGCAGAUAAAGGGCACUGGUCAGCUUGUAGAUGUUGUGCGUAUGGAGCUGCUGUAUAUAUACCCUUGCAUUCACAUUUUUCUCAGUGUAAGUCCUUUUUUGUAGAUUGAACAGCUCAGAGUGGGAAAUUUGGGUCAAACGGUAAAAGUGUGUUUAAUUAUAAAAGAGAGGGACCAGAGUUCCCUGGUGGCUCAGCGGGUUAAGGAUCCAGCGUUGUCACUGCAGUGGGUUCGAUCUCUGGCCCUGGAACCUCCACAUGCUGCAGGCACGGCCAAAAGAAAUUUUUUAAUAAAAAAUUUUAAAAAGAGACAGACUGUCUUCCUGGUGGAUGCGCCAUUCCACACCCCUCAGCAGCGGUGGGAGUUGCAGCUGCCCCACAACCCUUGGGAGGGUCAGUGGUGCUCCCGAGGCUCCCAGAGGCCAUGUGAUGUCUGACUGCACCCAGCUUCAGUCCUCCCGGGGCUGGUGAUGCAAACCUUUUCAAGUGCCUCCCCAGACCCUUCCUGGUGAACCGUCUGUGCAAGUCUCCUUUUUCAUUUUCUGAUUUUGAUUUCAGGCUGCACCCAUGGCAUGUGAAAAUUCCCAGGCCAGGGAUCAAACCCUCAUCACAGCAGUGACCUGAGCCUCUGCUGUGACAACAUCAGACCCUUAACCCUCUGUGCCACCAGGGAACUCCUGCAAGUCUCUUUUUUUUUAGAGUAAAAGUGUAUAUAUGUAAGGAGUUCCCAUCGUGGCGCAGUGGUUAACGAAUCUGACGAGGAACCAUGAGGUUUCGAGUUCGAUCCCUGGCCUUGCUCAGUGGGUUCAGGAUCUGGCGUUGGCAUGAGCUGUGGUGUAGGUCGCAGACGCGGCUUGGUUCCCGUGUUGCUGUGACUGUGGUGUAGGCCGGUAGCUACAGCUCCGAUCAGACCCCUAGCCUGGAACCUCCAUGUGCCGCGGGUGUGGCCCUAGAAAAGGCAAAAAGACCACAAAAAAGUGCACAUAUGUAAGGUGUACAGCAUGAGUUGUUAUACACACACAUAGUGAAAUGAUUACCACACUAAUUCACAAACACAGUUGCCCUUGAGAGCCCCUGAAAUCUCCCCUCUGAGGAAAUGUCCAGUAUUCCCCACGCUGUUAUUAACCGCAGUCACCGGGCUGCACGCAAGCUCUCUCGACUCACGCACCCCACAGACCUUCAGCCAUCCUCCCCCCCACAACCGCAGUUCUACCCCCGGCUUCUAUGCAUUUGCCGUUUUCAACUUCCACGGGUGUGAAAUCUUUUUUUCUUUUUCUUUCUGUGCCUGGCUUAUGUAAUGUACCCUGCUGUCCUCCAAGCUCACCUGUGUUUGUUUCAAAUGGAAGGACCCCUUUCCUGUUUAAGGCUGCGUCAUAUUCCAUCGUACCUGGACCCCACCAUUUCUUUAUCAGUUCGUCUGUCUGUGGACACGUAGGCUGUUCGGGUCUUUUGCCUGCUUGCUGACUGGCUCAUUUGUCUUUAUGCAGAGAUGUCUUUGUUCCUCUCCCCUCACUGAUUUUAUGAGUAAGCACAUGGAAGCACAGAGAGGUUAAGUGACUUGCCUGAAUAUGCACAGCUGAUAACCAGCAGAGCCAGAAAACAGGAAUCCACGCCACCUCCUUGGUGGGAAGAACAGCAGAGAGGAGAGAGGCCCUUACUCCUUGUGAGUGUGUGUGUGUGUGUGUGUGUGUGUGUGUGUGUGCACUCAGUUCUGACUUUUACAAACAUGCGGCCAUUCCAUGUUCUGAGACACGCUCCAGACACGGAUUGUUCAAGGAUCUCCACAGGGCCUGGCCGGUACCCACCUCGGGGCCUUUGCACCUGCUAUGCCCUCAGCCAGGAAAGGGGAAGGACUUUCUCUUUCCCGUCAUCCCCUUCUCAUGUCAAGUCUCAGCCCCCACAUCACAGCCUCCGAGGGCCAUGUCCAAACUUACCCUCUGGGGUUGGCUCAUUAAGCUGCUGACCGCCCCUCUUUCCAAGGCGGGUUUAAACUCUACGUGCUCAGGCAGCUUGUUCAGGAUGGGUCAUCCUUCAUCCACCACUGGCUCCCGGGAGGGAGGGACCUGGGUGGGCCUGGCCUCACCAGGUGAACCUUCCAAAGCUGAGCCUUGGCUCAGACUGGUCAGCUGCUCCCAGAGAAACACAGAGACAGGGUCCCGCCGGCCUGGACGAGGAAGAAGCAGCUGCGGUUGUGUGCAUCCCUGGAGGAGGACGCAGCCCCCCUCGGACAGGCAGAGAGACGACUCGCCCCCGAGCCCAGCAGCCGCAGGGGAAGGUCUGCCUGCAGCCAGGCGGGGGCGUGUGCGCGCACAUGCGCGUGUGUGCCCUCGGGUAAGGCCCCGGCCUGGAGAACACGGUGACCGACUCAGCGACCCACGCACGGGACCCUGAGCCGGGAAGCCGGCAUACGGUACCCUUUGUGCCGCCUUAAGCGGCUGAGUCGGUGGUGACUUGUGACACAGCAGCAGAAAACCAGCCCGCCUUCCACGGGCCAUUCCACGGACACUGCCUGACCUGCUCACGGCUGCCCCCGAAGCCCCCACGCAGGGCGGAGGCGGGGGUCCAGGAGGUCUGCUCGGCCCCCCUCGCACCCCCAGACCCUCGUGAUGGGGGCUUCCGUUCUCGAGUUAGAGGGAACGCUUUGGGGCCAUCGGUGAGUUAUGGGACCAGCCGGGUGUCACAGACCUGGUCCCCAGCCUGGCUUUGCUCCUUCUGGCUGGUGUCAGAAGCUCUGUGACCCCAAGCGGUUCCUUCAUAAAGUGGGGCCCGUUCAGUGCCUUCCCCGUGGGCUCGUGGAAUUGAAUAACUGGAUCUGUUUCUAAAGCACUUGGCACAGGGUCUGGAAACGCCGCCGACCUGUUACCUGAAGUCACUGCAUCCAGACCUGCCCUCCCACAUGUAUAACAUCUGUGCCAGGGCACACGCAGGCGCUGUUAAAUGUCUCUCUCACAUACACACACACACAGAGUCCCAAACAGACACCCUCCCCCUUCCAAAGCCCAGAUCAUCAGCAUUUGUUCAGUAGGCACGUCAUUGACACUGAGCAGCCUCAAGACGCUGUGCAGGACGCAUAGGGCAGCAAACUACAUCCUUGCAAAAUACAGCUGCGAAAUGACCGAUUCUCAAACGGUAGAGGGAACACUGCUUAGACACAGAAGGCAGCGGUACAUUUGCCAGACAGAUGGGGAGCGUCGGCGGGUCCCUCCCUGCUCUGGAAAGCUUGCUCGCCCGCGCGCGCGCGCGCUGUGCGUGCCAGGCUGCGUUCAAGAGCACCGUUCCCAUCCCCUGGUUGGAAUCUAGCCUGGCUUUCAGCUCGGUGGAAAGGCCGUGGGAUUCUGGAGAGCGGAGGGUCUGUCCUGGCCGCUUGGCCUCGGGUGACAAUUCUUUUUGUUCGAAUCUAAGCAUGGUUGCUCGACAGCCUUGUGCCGGUUUCUGCCGCACAGCAUAGUAACCCACUUGCACACAUGCACACACUCAUUUUUUCACACUGUCUUCCAUCGCAGUCCCUCCCAAGAGACUGGACACGGUUCCCCGUGCUGUACAGCAGGACCUCAUCGCCUAUGCAUUUCCUGUGAAGAUUCUAACGGCUUCUCGCCAUCUGUCCAUAUUCACUGGGGCCCGUCCUGGGUUGAAGGGAGUGAGGCUCUCGGCUUGGGUACAAAUUUUAAGUGUGGGGGUGAGGAGAGUGCAGACAUCUCAGUGAUCAAGAGAGAUAAUUUUUUUUUUUUUGGUCUUUUUAGGGCCACACCUGCAGCAUAGGGAGGUUCCCAGUCUAGGGGAAUCCAGCUUGGAAUCAGAGCUGUAGCCACCAGCCUACCCCAGAGCCACAGCAAUGCCAGAUCCGAACUGCGUCUGCGACCUACACCACAGCUCACAGCAACACCGGAUCCUUAACCCACUGAGCGAGGCCAGGAAUGGAACUCGCAACCUCAUGGUUCCUGGAUGGAUUCUUUUCCAAUGUACCACGAUGGGAACGCCAAGAGAUAAUAUUUUAAUGCAGCGUUUCCUUAAAAUUUCCCAGUUAAAAUGGUGGGAAAAAUCAACGAGGAAGAAAUGCCCACAUGUUAACGGAAGACGGGCUCUCGCAGGGCUGCGAGUAGGGCAAGGUGAGGCGACGAGUCCUGCAAAGCUCAGGGUGGAAAUGUUGAUGUUGCGCUCCUCACGGACUGGAGGCAUUAUCCUUUCUUUUUUAAGCAAACGGCACUGGCACCGGGGCCUUCUCGUGGCUCAGGAGCCUGAGAAUCAGGCAUGAUCCCUGCAGCAGUUCCCUUCGCUGCUGCAGUGUGGCUGCGCGACCUGGCCGGGGACUUUCGCGUGCCUCUGCUGCGCAGUAUUGCCCUGAGUCCUGAGGACUCGGCUUCCCUUACGUGGUGCGCCCAGGUGAACACCUCGGGGGCCCGCCAGCCCCUCCCCCCGCAGCAUCUCUGAUCCUUUCUCUCUGUCCCCACCGUGAAUACCCUCGUUCUUUCCACCACCGCGUCUGGCUGGAGCCGGCACAGCAAACUCCCCGCCACCUGCUGCAUCCUGGUCUGGACACGACCUCCAAGCUGCUGGCACUGAAACUCGGGGUGACUUCCUCCGCAAACCCUCCCCCCAAAGCCCACUCCCAUCAUCCUCUCCCACCGUCUAGAUGUCUCCCCCCUGCCUCCCCCACCCCCAUCCCCACCAUCGCCCAGUUUGGGUUAUAGCAACUGAUGCUGCUAUUUUCUCACCUCUUUUCAGUUCUCUGCGCCAUUUCCCAGGGUGGGGGACCGGUCACACAAGUGUGAUGUCAUUUCAGAUGGUCCGGCUCCAAGGACAAUUAAACUUUACCAUACAAUGUUAUACCCUUGGGAGUUCCCGUGGUGGCUCAGUGGAUUAAGAACCCGACACAGUGUCUGCGAGGAUGCGGGUUCAAUCCCUGGCCUCGCUCAGUAGGUUAAGGACCUGGCACUGCCACAAGCUGUGACUUAGAUAACAGAUGCGGCUCGGAUCCCGCAUUCCUGUGGCUGUGGUGUAGGUGGGCAGCUUCAGCUCCCACUCGACCCCUCGCCUGGGAACCUCCAUGUGCUGCAGGUGCCACUGUAAAAGGAAAAAAAAAAAAA
rnacentral:lncRNA from 1 species